rnacentral:rRNA from 1 species
UACGGGGGGGGCAAGCGUUGUUCGGAAUUACUGGGCGUAAAGGGCUCGUAGGCGGCCAACUAAGUCCGACGUGAAAUCCCCAGGCUUAACCUGGGAACUGCGUCGGAUACUGGAUGGCUUGAAUUCGGGAGAGGGAUGCAGAAUUCCAGGUGUAGCGGUGAAAUGCGUAGAUAUCUGGAGGAAUACCGGUGGCGAAGGCGGCGUCCUGGACCGACAUUGACGCUGAUGAGCGAAAGCUAGGGGAGCAAACGGGG